AACGAACGCUGGCGGCAGGCCUAACACAUGCAAGUCGAACGGUGAAGCAGGAGCUUGCUCCUGUGGAUCAGUGGCGAACGGGUGAGUAACACGUGAGCAAUCUGCCCUGGACUCUGGGAUAAGCGUUGGAAACGACGUCUAAUACCGGAUACGAGGCGUGGGGGCAUCCCCAACGCCUGGAAAGAACUUCGGUCCAGGAUGAGCUCGCGGCCUAUCAGGUAGUUGGUGAGGUAACGGCUCACCAAGCCGAUGACGGGUAGGGGGCGUGAGAGCGUGACCCCCCACACGGGCACUGAGAUACGGGCCCGACUCCUACGGGAGGGAGCAGUGAGGGAUAUUGGGCAAUGGGCGAAAGCCUGACCCAGCGACGCCGCGUGGGCGAAGACGGCCUUCGGGUUGUAAAGCCCUUUUCUACCGGACGAGGAAGGACGGUACGGUGGGAAGAAGUCACGGCUAACUACGUGCCAGCCGCCGCGGUAAUAC
rnacentral:rRNA from 1 species